rnacentral:lncRNA from 12 species
GGUCAUCUAUUCAUCAUUUUCCAAAAAAAUCCAACACAUACUGCUUAACUCUUAUGGAGCACUUCUCUUUGCAUUAUGAGAGAGGUUCCUAUGGUCUUUAUAAAUAUUUAUGAUACCCGACUGGCCAUGUUACAUAUACUGUGCUUUGCUAAUAUGAGUCAUGGCUUAAAGUCUUCCUGCGCACAGAGCACGGGGAUUGUGGAUGUGUGGAAUGAUAUCCUGGCCGGGGAGCAAAGACGCUCACUACGAUUGUUCUGUGGUUCUGCUUAAAGAAUUUGCGCAUAACCGUGUCAAAAUACAGGUACUUCUUUUCUUGAAGAAGAAGAAAAAAGCAAUCUGUUUCGAUCCAUAUGAAAAAAGCAUUUCAAAACUGAAAACACGGCAUGUAAAGAAGAAAGAGAGUUUGAAUGAUUUUGAAUGUGCACUCAUCUGGAACGGCACCCUCCUUCUCUUGUUUCAUGCCUGGCUGCAAUUAAAGUCAAAAGCAAAAUUUGAAAAUACAACUUUAUUAUAGAAUGAAAGAAUUGUUGAUUCAGGGACUGGCCUGUAAUCUCACAACAUUUCAAAAAAAAAAAGAAGAAGAAGAAAGAAAAAAGGAAGGAAGGAAGGAAGGAAGGAAGGAAGGAAGGAAGGAAGGAAGGAGAGGAGAGGAGAGGAGAGGAGAGGAGAGGAGAGGAGAGGAGAGGAGAGGAGAGGAGAGGAGAGGAGAGGAGAGGAGAGGAGAGGAGAGGAGAGGAGAGGAGAGGAGAGGAGAGGAGAGAGAAGAAUAUCAAGCUGCCAGCUAGUGGGUUCAGUCUCACCAGCAGAGACUCGAAACUCCAGAAUCAAUAACUCAGUUAACUUUGCCAGUUUCUAACACAAUUAUAAGAAUUGGAAAAUUGCCCAAAUGCUCAAAAAGGAAUUAAGGUCUUAUGAGAACAUCCCCACCCCCUUUUCUAAGGAAGUACACGAGCGAUAAAAGCAAAAUAACUGAAUGGGGUGGGGCUCAGCCAUUUCCAGUGUCAGAUCAGAGAGUUGUGGAAUUUCAGAGCUGGAAGAAGGCUCAGAGGUCAUCUGGAGGCCAUUUCACAGAUGAGAUAACUGAGACCCAGGGAGGAAGGAAUUGACCCAAGUUCACAGAGUGCACAUGAAUCUUGAAGCAUCUCUAUCAUGAUUCCUUCCUCUGUGUGAGAAAUAACUACUAAGAGUCUCUUUGGGGCCAGACAUUGUGGUAAGAGUGGGGGCAGUUCAUGGACAAGCCAAGCUGACAUUUUCUCUGCCCUUACAGAACUUACCUUCUACUGCAAAGUCAGUCAACAGAUCAACCAACAAAUAAGGAUGGAAUAAAUGGCCAGAUCUAAACA